rnacentral:lncRNA from 1 species
CUAUAUAUAAGAAAAAGUGAAACCUACUAGAAAGCUUUCACUAAGAUCAUUUUGUGUUGCUUAAAUUUACGUAAUUACUUUUUCUAUGUGUGGAUUAUUUCACAUGCAUCUGUUUUUCAACUUUGCUUGUUUCUUUCUAUUGCCUAGGGUUUUAUUUUCCCCCUAAGCUUCCAUUUUGAUAAAGUAAUUUGGGGUUCACAUCCAAAACCAAUUGGCAAUGGGUGGAGUGGCCCAAACCCUUAUUAACCCACAGGCAAGGUCCUAUAUUCCCGAUGUGGGAUAUAUAUCUCAACACGCCCCUGCACGUGUGGCGAAUCUUAAAGCCUAACACGUGGACAACAUUUGGGUGACGUGGAGUUCGUGUGGCCAUUGGGCUUCACACGUGGACGUGGGUAACCCGCUCUGAUACCAUGAUAAAGUAAUCUGGGGUUCACAUCUAAAACCAAUUGGCAAUGGGUGGAGUGGCCCAAACCCUUAUUAACCCACAGGCAAGGUCCCAUAUUCCCGACGUGGGAUAUAUAUCUCAACACAUUUCCGCUGAUGUCACUGUUGAUUUCUAGAGUUCGACAUUGUUUACAUUCAGUUCUAUUUUUCUUAUUGUACUAAACCUGAUGAAAGUUUUGCUCCUCUGGCUGUUACCUGAGAAAUGAUGGGAGAUGUUCUAAUACCAUAUUUUUGACAACUGCUUCUGGUAUUUAAUAAUGUGAGCCU